UACAGAGGUCUCAAGCGUUGUUCGGAUUCAUUGGGCGUAAAGGGUGCGCAGGUGGGCGCGGCAAGUCGGAUGUGAAAUCCCGGGGCUCAACCCCGGAACUGCAUUCGAUACUGCCGUGCUAGAGUGCUGGAGAGGAGAUUGGAAUUUACGGUGUAGCAGUGAAAUGCGUAGAUAUCGUAAGGAAGACCAGUGGCGAAGGCGGAUCUCUGGGACAGCUACUGACACUGAGGCACGAAGGCCAGGGGAGCAAACGGG
rnacentral:rRNA from 1 species